UACAGAGACUGCAAGCGUUAUUCGGAUUCACUGGGCGUAAAGGGUGCGCAGGCGGCCGAGUGUGUGAGGCGUGAAAGCCCGGGGCUUAACCCCGGAAUUGCACCUCAAACUACACGGCUAGAGCAUUGGAGAGGGUAGCAGAAUUCAUGGUGUAGCAGUGAAAUGCGUAGAUAUCAUGAGGAAUACCAGAGGCGAAGGCGGCUACCUGGACAAUUGCUGACGCUCAGGCACGAAAGCGUGGGGAGCAAAAGGG
rnacentral:rRNA from 2 species